rnacentral:rRNA from 1 species
AGAGUUUGAUCAUGGCUCAGGACGAACGCUGGCGGCGUGCCUAACACAUGCAAGUCAAGGCGGUAGCAAUACCGACUGGCGCACGGGUGCGGAACACGUAGGUAAUCUGCCCAUGAGGGGAGAACAACUCACCGAAAGGUGAGCUAAAUCUCCGUAAUGUUUAACUGUGGCAUCACAGUUUAACCAAGCUUUCUUAUGGAUGAGCCUGCGUCUGAUUAGCUAGUUGGUGAGGUAACGGCUCACCAAGGCUACGAUCAGUAGCUGGUCUGAGAGGAUGAUCAGCCACAUUGGGACUGAGACACGGCCCAGACUCCUACGGGAGGCAGCAGUGAGGAAUAUUGCUCAAUGGACGAAAGUCUGAAGCAGCAACGCCGCGUGAGGGAUGAAGGUGCUCUGCAUUGUAAACCUCUGUAGUCGGGGACAAAAAGUGGGUUACUACCCACCUGAUGGUACCCGAAAAGUAAGGAUCGGCUAACUACGUGCCAGCCGCCGCGGUAAUAC